UAUAAGGGCAACUUCACCGGUGGUCCAAAUCACUGUUUGGUUCCAAAUUUUUGGACCAUGUUGAAAUUUGGAGCUUGCACCGGUGUUGCAAAAAAUGUUCCAAUUUUAUUUUAUACCAGUUUUCUGGUCUACUUUUUUGGAACAGGCUAAUUGCCUGGUCUAUUUUUGGUCGGAUUUGGAACAAGAUUUGAGCUGUUCCAAAUCUGAUUUGACACACGUUUGUUUACCAGUUCGGAUUUUUCUCGCAGUUUCACCAUCGUAUUUUCAACCUACUCAUUUGAGCUUUCCGCUUUCAUUUGGACUCACACAGGACACCUCCAGGAAUCAUCAGGGUUUUUCUCCAGGGAAUCAUUUAGGAGUUCGUACAAGGAUUCCAUAAGGAAUGUGUACGGGAAGAUAUUUGUCACCCCCAUCGACGAAAUCCAGAGUCAGCAUCUUCGAAGCUCUUCCCGAUCGCCGGUACGCUGAAUUUUUACAUGAACCGGAAUCUCAUCGACGAGAAAUUAUGGACAUGCUUAUUCGAUGGAGGACAUGCCGGGAUUAGGUCAACUAUGUUGUUGCAAAAAUGGAACGGACUGCUGCAAACAAAGCGAUGGGAAAUUGAAAAAAAAUAUGUUGUGAAAUUUCAAGUGUAUAUGUGUAUGGAAUCAAUAAAAAUAAAGUUUUGCUUGAUUGAUUGCUCUACGUAAAGAGCUGCUAAUUUAAA